GAUGUUAGUUGCCAGCAUUCAGUUGGGCAUUUUAAGGUGACUGCCGGUGACAAACCGGAGGAAGGUGGGGAUGACGUCAAAUCAUCAUGCCCCUUAUGACCUGGGCUACACACGUGCUACAAUGGACAGAACAAAGGGCAGCGAAACCGCGAGGUUAAGCCAAUCCCACAAAUCUGUUCUCAGUUCGGAUCGCAGUCUGCAACUCGACUGCGUGAAGCUGGAAUCGCUAGUAAUCGCGGAUCAGCAUGCCGCGGUGAAUACGUUCCCGGGCCUUGUACACACCGCCCGUCACACCACGAGAGUUUGUAACACCCGAAGUC
rnacentral:rRNA from 1 species